AGAUUGAACGCUGGCGGCAUGCUUUACACAUGCAAGUCGAACGGUAACAGGCCGCAAGGUGCUGACGAGUGGCGAACGGGUGAGUAAUGUAUCGGAACGUGCCCAGUCGUGGGGGAUAACGCAGCGAAAGCUGCGCUAAUACCGCAUACGAUCUAUGGAUGAAAGCGGGGGACCGUAAGGCCUCGCGCGAUUGGAGCGGCCGAUAUCAGAUUAGGUAGUUGGUGGGGUAAAGGCUACACCAAGCCAACGAUCUGUAGCUGGUCUGAGAGGACGACCAGCCACACUGGGACUGAGACACGGCCCAGACCUCCUACGGGAGGCCAGCAGGUGGGAAUAGUUGGACAAGUGGGACGAAAGCCCUAGAUCCGAGCCCAUCGCCGCGUGUGUGAAGAAGGUCUUCGGAUUAGUAAAGC
rnacentral:rRNA from 1 species